rnacentral:rRNA from 1 species
AUGAACGCUGGCGGCGUGCUUAACACAUGCCAGUCGAACGGAAAGGCCCAAGCUUGCUUGGGUACUCGAGUGGCGAACGGGUGAGUAACACGUGGGUGAUCUGCCCUGCACUUCGGGAUAAGCCUGGGAAACUGGGUCUAAUACCGGAUAGGACGAUGGUUUGGAUGCCAUUGUGGAAAGUUUUUUCGGUGUGGGAUGAGCUCGCGGCCUAUCAGCUUGUUGGUGGGGUAAUGGCCUACCAAGGCGUCGACGGGUAGCCGGCCUGAGAGGGUGUACGGCCACAUUGGGACUGAGAUACGGCCCAGACUCCUACGGGAGGCAGCAGUGGGGAAUAUUGCACAAUGGGCGCAAGCCUGAUGCAGCGACGCCGCGUGGGGGAUGACGGCCUUCGGGUUGUAAACUCCUUUCGCUAGGGACGAAGCGUUUUUGUGACGGUACCUGGAGAAGAAGCACCGGCUAACUACGUG